AUUGAACGCUGGCGGCAGGCCUAACACAUGCAAGUCGAGCGGAGCGGAGGACGGGUGAGUAAUGCCUAGGAAUCUGCCUGGGAGUGGGGGAUAACGUCAGGAAACGGGCGCUAAUACCGCAUACUAUCAGAUGAGCCUAGGUCGGAUUAGCUGGUUGGUGGGGUUAAGGCAUACCAAGGCGACGAUCCGUAACUGGUCUGAGAGGAUGAUCAGGCACACUGGAACUGAGACACGGUCCAGACUCCUACGGGAGGCAGCAGUGGGGAAUAUUGGACAAUGGGCGCAAGCCUGAUGCAGCCAUGCCGCGUGUGUGAAGAAGGCCUUCGGGUUGUAAAGCACUUUCAGCGGGGAGGCGUUACCCGCAGAAGAAGCACCGGCUAACUCCGUGCCAGCAGCCGCGGUAAUUC
rnacentral:rRNA from 1 species